AUUCUGGUGGAAACCGCAGAUUUUUUGAGUUGGCAACUGUGGCCAUUCAAAUAUUGUGUUUACCCUGGUCAAACGCGGAGAUAGAAAGGGUUUUUAGCCAGGUUAACCUAAUUAAAUCAAAAUUACGAAAUUCAAUAGUCCUAGCCACGACUAACAGCAUUCUAAGCAUAAGAAAUGGAUUUCGAAGGAUGGGAAAAUGCUGCGUCGACUAUGAAGUGCCUGUAAAAUAUCUGCAGAUGAUAGGCACGAAUAUGUCAUACGAAAAUGAGACAGACCAAGACGAUAUAGAUAAAUUAAUGGAAAUCUUCUAAACAAAAAUGAACUUAAUAAAUUGUUAUUUUUUUU